GUACCAGCCGAAUUUCAUAGCAGAGUUAUCUUAAAAAUUCUGCUCUUUCUAUUGUAUGUUGACCUCUCUCCUACCCCUCAUUGGUUAGGAGUUAAAUCUAAUGUUCCAAAAAUUGACUCCUUCGCGUUGGAGUUGUACUCAACAGGGGAUUUAUAAUUUCUUUAUAAGAGAAACAAUAGCUGGCCAUAAGAUGGGCUAAUGCCCUUGUCACGUGAUGGGCUCAAGCCGACGUGGGUGGAUUAACUUCCUUCAUCCUUCAUACUUCAUCCUUCAUCCCCACUUUUCUUCUUAAUCUCCACCGCCACUAAUUUUGAUGUCAACUCAAAUAUAUCAGCUGCGGUAAUUGACCGUUUUUCCUCACCGUGAAGCUCGCAACUUUACCAAUUUCCUCCAGUUUUGAUAUAA
rnacentral:misc_RNA from 1 species